rnacentral:rRNA from 1 species
GGAGCAUGUGGUUUAAUUCGAAGCAACGCGCAGAACCUUACCAGCGUUUGACAUGUCCGGACGAUUUCCAGAGAUGGAUCUCUUCCCUUCGGGGACUGGAACACAGGUGCUGCAUGGCUGUCGUCAGCUCGUGUCGUGAGAUGUUGGGUUAAGUCCCGCAACGAGCGCAACCCUCGCCUUUAGUUACCAUCAUUUAGUUGGGGACUCUAAAGGAACCGCCGGUGAUAAGCCGGAGGAAGGUGGGGAUGACGUCAAGUCCUCAUGGCCCUUACGCGCUGGGCUACACACGUGCUACAAUGGCGGUGACAGUGGGCAGCAAACUCGCGAGAGUGCGCUAAUCUCCAAAAGCCGUCUCAGUUCGGAUUGUUCUCUGCAACUCGAGAGCAUGAAGGCGGAAUCGCUAGUAAUCGCGGAUCAGCAUGCCGCGGUGAAUACGUUCCCAGGCCUU